rnacentral:rRNA from 1 species
UACGUAGGGGGCAAGCGUUGUCCGGAUUUAUUGGGCGUAAAGAGCGUGUAGGCGGCCAGACAGGUCCGUUGUGAAAACUCGAGGCUCAACCUCGAGACGUCGACGGAAACCGUCUGGCUAGAGUCCGGAAGAGGAGAGUGGAAUUCCUGGUGUAGCGGUGAAAUGCGCAGAUAUCAGGAAGAACACCCGUGGCGAAAGCGGCUCUCUGGAACGGUACUGACGCUGAGACGCGAAAGCGUGGGGAGCGAACAGG